CUUAGGAUGAACGCUAGCGACAGGCCUAACACAUGCAAGUCGAGGGGCAGCACAAGGAGCAAUCUGAGGUGGCGACCGGCGCACGGGUGAGUAACACGUAUGCAACCUGCCUGUAAGCGGGGAAUAACCCGUUGAAAGACGGACUAAUACCGCAUAAUACUAAAUUACUGCAUGGUAAUUUAUUUAAACAUUUAUGGCUUACAGAUGGGCAUGCGCAUGAUUAGCUAGUUGGAGAGGUAACGGCUCCCCAAGGCAACGAUCAUUAGGGGUUCUGAGAGGAAGGUCCCCACACUGGUACUGAGACACGGACCAGACUCCUACGGGAGGCAGCAGUGAGGAAUAUUGGUCAAUGGACGAGAGUCUGAACCAGCCAAGUCGCGUGCAGGAAGAAUGUCCUAAUGGAUUGUAAACUGCUUUUGCAGGGGAAUAAAGUGCAUCACGUGUGAUGUUUUGUAUGUACUCUGCGAAUAAGGAUCGGCUAAUUCCGUGCCAGCAGCAGC
rnacentral:rRNA from 1 species